rnacentral:rRNA from 1 species
UACGAAGGGGGCUAGCGUUGCUCGGAAUCACUGGGCGUAAAGCGCACGUAGGCGGAUAUGUCAGUCAGGGGUGAAAUCCCGGGGCUCAACCUCGGAACUGCCUUUGAUACUGGCGAUCUUGAGUCCGGAAGAGGUGAGUGGAACUCCUAGUGUAGAGGUGGAAUUCGUAGAUAUUAGGAAGAACACCAGUGGCGAAGGCGGCUCACUGGUCCGGUACUGACGCUGAGGAGCGAAAGCGUGGGGAGCGAACAGG